AGUAAUCAUGUUGGGAGUCUGGCUCUCGAGAUUCGGAGGGCGGUGCCUCUUCGAUUUUGGAGCAAGCAAUCUUGUUGGGAGUGUUGUCUCGAAUGUGAGUAAAGGUUGGGCAUGUUUGUUAGUCUACCUUGCCACGAAGCACAAAGGUUGACACACAGGGACUUUCCAAUUAUCCAGCAAUGGUACUGUUCCUUUACCCUCUCUUCGAUUUUGAGAAAGUAGUCAUGUUGGGAGUCUGGCUCUCGAGGUUCGGAGGACGGUGUCUCUUCGAUUUUGGAGCAAGCAAUCUUGUUGGGAGUGUUUUCUCGAAUGUGAGUAAAGGUUGGGCAUGUUUGCUAGUCUACCUUGCCACGAAGCACAGAGGUUGACAAACAGGGACUUUCCAAUUAUCCAGCAGUGGUAUUGUUCCUUUACCCUUGUGGGUAAUAAUAUGGUAGCUAGAACUUCAAAAUUUAUGUGUCUAAACUUUGUUAGUGCUGUUUCUUUGCUAUUCUUUUACCUUUCUUGGUCAGAGCGAUGUAGUGGGAGCUGCAAGCUUCACGUGCUCAACUUUGGCAGAGAACUUUGGCAAAGUUAUCUGUGGUACCCAUGAGCUAUUGUUGCGUGUGGGAAGUGGGUGAUUGAACAGUAAGAUUCAUGUGCUUUCUACUUCACCAGAAGCCUUCGACAGAAUGCCCAUAAUUUCUGCAAAGCUGAGUGUGCGUGUGACAGGUGCUGACAAGGCUAGAAAAGUAGGUGCCUCUUCGAUUUCUGAGAUCGGCCCUCGUGGUCUCUGAGCAGCCCAGCUUUUGAGAAAGCGAGCGCCUCUUCGAUUGAUUCGGAGAACGAUGCCUCAUCGAUUUUUGAGAAAGCAAUCAUGCUGGGGGUCUGGCUCUCGAAGAUUCGGGGAGCAGUGUCUCUUCGAUUUUUGAGAAAGUAAUCAUGUUGGGAGUCUGGCUCUCGAGAUUCGGAGGGCGGUGCCUCUUCGAUUUUGGAGCAAGCAAUCUUGUUGGGAGUGUUUUCUCGAAUGUGAGUAAAGGUUGGGCAUGUUUGCUAGUCUACCUUGCCAUGAAGCACAGAGGUUGACACACAGGGACUUUCCAAUUAUCCAGCAAUGGUACUGUUCCUUUACCCUCUCUUCGAUUUUUAAGAAAGUAGUCAUGUUGAGAGUCUGGCUCUCGAGAUUCGGAGGACGGUGCCUCUUCGAUUUUGGAGCAAGCAAUCUUAUUGGGAGUGUUUUCUCGAAUGUGAGUAAAG
rnacentral:lncRNA from 1 species